rnacentral:lncRNA from 1 species
GCCUGGGAGUUACAGUCCUUGUGGGCUAGACUGCCCUUCAAGUUUAUUUAGGACCCUAGAACACUUGAGUCCAUGGUGGUUUUGACAGAAACAAUGAUGAGCAAACACAAUAUACACACAAAGCCACAAAAUACAAAUGUCUCCAGUAUUUCUCUAAACCCUAGUGAAAGUAGAGCUAGUAGCUGCCAAUUGUAACCUCAGGUUGAGUUUUAUAGUCUCCCCAUAUUUGAAGAGUUUGACCCUUUUAGGUUUUCCUUAUCCUAUCUUUGAUCUCUUAAAAAGCAUUUGUCUUGAUUUUUAGCCUGUCGAACUUUUGCAAAGGGAAAAGUUGCUGCAGGCAUGCGUGACUAAAUAGAUAGCUUUGUCAGUUUCCAGUGGCUAGACCUAGUCAGACAUUCUUGCACUUACAUACUUCUAUUUAAAGCUAUUAUUCUAUUGAUA